UGGGGAAUUUUGGACAAUGGGCGAAAGCCUGAUCCAGCAAUGCCGCGUGUGUGAAGAAGGCCUUCGGGUUGUAAAGCACUUUUGUCCGGGAAAGAAAUCCUUGGCUCUAAUACAGUCGGGGGAUGACGGUACCGGAAGAAUAAGCACCGGCUAACUACGUGCCAGCAGCCGCGGUAAUACGUAGGGUGCAAGCGUUAAUCGGAAUUACUGGGCGUAAGCGUGCGCAGGCGGUUUGCUAAGACCGAUGUGAAAUCCCCGGGCUCAACCUGGGAACUGCAUUGGUGACUGGCAGGCUAGAGUAUGGCAGAGGGGGGUAGAAUUCCACGUGUAGCAGUGAAAUGCGUAGAGAUGUGGAGGAAUACCGAUGGCGAAGGCAGCCCCCUGGGCCAAUACUGACGCUCAUGCACGAAAGCGUGGGGAGCAAACAGGAUU
rnacentral:rRNA from 1 species